rnacentral:rRNA from 1 species
AAACUUUCAACAACGGAUCUCUUGGCUCUGGCAUCGAUGAAGAACGCAGCGAAAUGCGAUAAGUAAUGUGAAUUGCAGAAUUUAGUGAAUCAUCGUAUCUUUGAACGCACAUUGCGCCCCUUGGUAUUCCGAGGGGCAUGCCUGUUCGAGCGUC